rnacentral:rRNA from 1 species
AUUGAACGCUGGCGGCAGGCUUAACACAUGCAAGUCGAGCGGAGAUGAGGUGCUUGCACCUUAUCUUAGCGGCGGACGGGUGAGUAAUGCUUAGGAAUCUGCCUAUUAGUGGGGGACAACAUUCCGAAAGGAAUGCUAAUACCGCAUACGUCCUACGGGAGAAAGCAGGGGAUCUUCGGACCUUGCGCUAAUAGAUGAGCCUAAGUCGGAUUAGCUAGUUGGUGGGGUAAAGGCCUACCAAGGCGACGAUCUGUAGCGGGUCUGAGAGGAUGAUCCGCCACACUGGGACUGAGACACGGCCCAGACUCCUACGGGAGGCAGCAGUGGGGAAUAUUGGACAAUGGGCGGAAGCCUGAUCCAGCCAUGCCGCGUGUGUGAAGAAGGCCUUUUGGUUGUAAAGCACUUUAAGCGAGGAGGAGGCUACCUGGAUUAAUACUCUAGGAUAGUGGACGUUACUCGCAGAAUAAGCACCGGCUAACUCUGUGCCAGCCGCCGCAGUAACAC